rnacentral:lncRNA from 1 species
UCCAUUUGAAACUUUCAUUUAAAACACUGCAUUCCAGUUCAGCCACUUUGUUACAAAUUGAAGACAGUUGCAUGAAAAUCACCCAGGAAAUAAUGAAUUUUCCAGGAACAGGAUUGGAGACAUCUUCCAGGAAAAAAUUAAAAUAAUCCUGGGUUCACGGUAUAUAUUGUAAAGUUUAAAAUAGCUACAGGGGCAUGAUAACAGUUUGGAAAUAUCUGAGGAUGGAACUUUUAGGGAUGGAAGGUGAAAGUUGGAGCACAAGAAGAGGUGCCACCUGAGCAAAUGUGGCUGACAGUGACAAGCACAACACAUUCCUCACAGCAAGGGAGGUGUCGACAGGAGAACAGGUCCUGUGAUUUGACAGGUGCCAGUGGACAGGAUAUCUGGAACUGACUGUGUAAUUUUUGUGACAAAGCACCAGAAUGUUAACUCUGAGGAAGCCUUAUGCUGCAACAAGAGGGCCGUGGAGAAGAGUGAAGGGAUGAAAACGAAAAUAGUUAUUUCUGCCAAAAGGUCACUCAUUCUGCGCAGCGUAGCAGAACCAAUUACACAACGUGUGUUUCAAACCUCUAAUUACUGUGGCUGCUUCUGCCUUGAUAUUGCUGGAGGGAAACAUCCGUGCAACGAAGCUGUGGUGUCCGUGACAGCUACAUCAUGUGCCAUGAUGGUCAAAUACUGGUCUGUGACUAAAUUUCAGUGUCACCCUUCCUGGCAGUAAUUACACCUCACAAGUAAAAAGGAGUCAUCAUCAAGACUGCCUACAAGGAAACUGUUUUCAUGUGAAACAAGGGACACAAUAAGAAAAUAUUGUAACAUAAAAUAAUCAAUAUGGCAUAUAUUGUUUUUAAAUUCUCAAAGGAUGAAGCUCUUGUGAUAAUGAAUAGUCUAAUUUUUCGUAACUGGAACUAGGUCAACAACAAAUUAAAUUACCGAGCCAGCAUGAAAAAGAUGAAUUACUAGAAAAUAAAAACCUGCCAUUAAAACA